ACGGUCGCGUCUGUUCGCUUAUAGUUCGCAGUUAUCCCACGUUUUGUGCUUGUGAGAAAUUUCUAGUGUUUUUUGACAAAGGCUUUUUGUGUGGGCCGCGCUAGUAUAUAAACUUUACUUUUAUACUUAAAUUAACUCGGUCGUCGCGAAAAUUAAAAUUAGUGUUAACAAACUCAGUACUGGUGUUGUAACUAGUACAUUCGUUUUCAUGUAUCUAUUAUUUAUACCGUCUCCACCUCGCUCAAACCCCUUCAAUCCGCUCGUUGGCGCAUCAAGCCGCCGUAUACAAUGUUAACAAAAGCCGCCCCCAUACUACAUACUACCUAAGCAAGUUCGGCACGCCCAGUGCAAUCGUUUCAACAAGUCGUCUAACGUGUCCCAACCUCCACCUUCGAUCAAUUCGUAAUACGUACCGACCUACAACCACACCAGUCAGGAGAUAACAUACACGGAGGAACAACAUACAUGGAGGAACGACCUGGAGUAUGCGGUCCUAACUCUUAGGAACUGGCCAAUAAUCCAAAACCCAAAAAA